rnacentral:rRNA from 1 species
CGGAUUGUAGGCUGCAACUCGCCUACAUGAAGUCGGAAUCGCUAGUAAUCGCGGAUCAGCUCUGCCGCGGUGAAUACGUUCCCGGGCCUUGUACACACCGCCCGUCACACCACGAGAGUUUGUAACACCCGAAGUCGGUGAGGUAACCUUUUGGAGCCAGCCGCCUAAGGUGGGAUAGAUGAUUGGGGUGAAGUCGUAACAAGGUAACCGUAA